GGGCGAUUGGUUCAGCGGUAGAACGCUUUCCUGAUAAGAAAGAGGUGGAUGGUUCGACUCCAUCAUCGCCCACCC
rnacentral:tRNA from 1 species